GACGAACGCUGGCGGCGUGCUUAACACAUGCAAGUCGAACGGUGAAGCACCUUCCUUUUGGUGGGUGUGGAUGAGUGGCGAACGGGUGAGUAACACGUGAGUAACCUGCCCCCUUCUUCUGGAUAACCGCAUGAAAGUGUGGCUAAUACGGGAUAUUCUGGGUCUGUCGCAUGGCGGGCCUGGGAAAGAUAUUGUUUCGGUGGGGGAUGGGCUCGCGGUCUAUCAGCUUGAUGGUGGGGUGAUGGCCUACCAAGGCGGUGACGGGUAGCCGGCCUGAGAGGGUGGACGGUCACACUGGGACUGAGACACGGCCCAGACUCCUACGGGAGGCAGCAGUGGGGAAUAUUGCACAAUGGGCGCAAGCCUGAUGCAGCGACGCCGCGUGAGGGAUGGAGGCCUUCGGGUUGUAAACCUCUUUCGCCAGUGAAGCAGGCCUGUCCCUUUUGUGGGUGGGUUGACGGUAGCUGGAUAAGAAGCGCCGGCUAACUACGUG
rnacentral:rRNA from 1 species